ACGUAGGUGGCAAGCGUUGUCCGGAUUUAUUGGGUUUAAAGGGCGCGUAGGCGGCUUUCUAAGUCAAAGGUGAAAUCCCUCGGCUCAACUGAGGAACUGCCUUUGAAACUGGAAGGCUUGAGGCCGGGAGGGGGUAGCGGAAUUCCCAGUGUAGCGGUGAAAUGCGUAGAUAUUGGGAGGAACACCAGUGGCGAAGGCGGCUACCUGGACCGGUACUGACGCUGAUGCGCGAAAGCGUGGGUAGCAAACAGGA
rnacentral:rRNA from 1 species